GGAUUAGAUACCCUGGUAGUCCACGCCGUAAACGAUGAUAACUAGAUGUUGGGGGAGUUGACCCCCUCAGUAUCGAAGCACACGCGAUAAGUUAUCCGCCUGGGGAGUACGGCCGCAAAGCUAAAACUCAAAGGAAUUGACGGGGGCCCGCACAAGCGGUGGAGUAUGUGGUUUAAUUCGAAGCAACGCGAAGAACCUUACCUGGGCUUGACAUCCUCUGAAUACAGUAGAGAUAUUGUCGGCUCGCAAGAGACAGAGAGACAGGUGCUGCAUGGCUGUCGUCAGCUCGUGCCG
rnacentral:rRNA from 1 species